rnacentral:rRNA from 1 species
GUCUACAGCCAUACCACCCUGAACGCGCCCGAUCUCAUCUGAUCUCGGAAACUAAGCAGGGUCGGGCCUGGUUAAUACUUGGAUGGGAGAGCAUUUGACUGCAUAUCUGUGCUUCAGAUC